UGAUAUCUUCCCUGAGUCUCCCUGUGUUUCCUCUGUGGUCCUUCCUGUGUUCCUUUGCAUGCCACUCUAUUUUGAGGCUGGAGCUGAUGAGGAGUCUAUUUCGCUGGACUUGAUUCAGCUGUUUCUCCAUCUGGCGUUUGAGCACCUGGGUGCACGUGAAGAGGCCAGCGCAUCUGUUGUGUGACGCCAGGAGCAGUGUACCACGAGCACUGGUAACAACCACAGAUCUGCCAUUAGAGACUCGUUGCUUUGGCGGUAGGACUUGAGUGCUGGUGAAACAUCCAAACCACUAGGACAUAAGAGUGGAAAUGAUGGAGCACGCUGUGGGAGAGGAAAAGGCCACAUACAGCCUCCGGGCUCCUUCAUGCCUCCUAGAAAUGGAGCCAGACUGAUCAACAUAAACAAGGAUGAAAUUAUUUGCGGCUGUCUCACAAAAGUAUGUAACUGAUCGGGUUACUCGGAUGAUCACUGCAUAGACAUUUCACAUCUACCUUUUUCAUUGCUGUUUGCCUGAUGUUGUCCCGUGUUAAAUAAUGCUCAUUAAUGAGUAACAAUGCUGGGUUUGUUUCAGCAUUAAGCAGAGAUUUCUGUCCGUUCUUCGCUUUCACAGCACACAGUAUGAAAAGAGGAUUCAUUAAUCACACCACAGACAAAUUAACAGGGGUGUUUCUAAACACCCCGGGUUUUUGCAAAGACACCCAGCCCCUCCAUGCAUUGUUGAUGUUGUUUGGGCUCAGUUCGUCUGUGGCAGAUUGGCUCAUAGGGAAGCUUGCAGACAUUUGAAUUAAAGCUGCAAAACUAUUAAAAAUGUAUGGCCCUGUAUGAAUGCAUGACCUAUAUUUUCCAUGCAAAUAAAUAAAUAAAUAAACGGGGUUUAGUGGGGAUGAUGCAAAUCUUCAGAAGUGGGACACAGGAUGAGCUAAUGACAACAAUAAAGAGUUUGGA